rnacentral:lncRNA from 1 species
CCAUAGUUAAUGCACUGCAUUAUUCAUUAGCUGCUACUGUGACAGGCAGAACACUUGCAUGGAGCUACUACACCACCAGGUAAGUGUUUAUCUUAAUAUAUCAAUUAAUAAAGAAGAUCUUCACCUAGCUGCUUAUAUCAAACAUUUUAAUCUUACUCCAUAAAUGUCGGUAUGAAAAAUUGUUUGACCUGGCAACUGUUUAACAAUGAAACCUUGUUUUUCAGUUAGAAUGCAUUCAAAUAUAUUGACAUCUAUUCUGUUACAGUGAAAGAACAUGACAUCUAUACUGGAGGACGGCUUGAUAAAAACAAGCUCAAUAGAGCAGGUGGUGGCCCCUCUGUCCUCUCACCUGUGUCACCUCACUCUUCUGUGCGGGAGCGAGACAGAACUGGAUGAAUUCACCCAGCUGGAAGCUGCAGCUAAAGCGGUGGCCAAAGCAUCCAAAAACAUGGCAGCUGUAGCAACAAGGUUAGUGGAGGAUACCGAUGAUGAUAUUCUGAAGAUGGAGAUGGAGCCACUCGUGGAAUCCCUGACUGUUUCUGGUCAGCACGUGCUCCUGGCCACCCAAAAGCUCAGCAUACAACCGGAGAUCAUAGAGCACAGAGAAGAGCUCAUUGAAGCCACUCAGAAUGUGCUGUUAGGUGUGGUCAAGGUAAUACGUUUCAUAAUUACAUGAAGAAAUGAAGGGAGUCCUGCAGCCACAGUCCUGCAGAGUUUAGUUCCAACCUAAACUACAUACCUGUAGUUUUCAAAAAAAUGCUGGAGGUGGUUCAGGUCCAUUUAAUUAAUGUUGAAGCUAAGCUCUCCAGGAACUGAUUUUAGCCUACUUGACCUUCACGGUUAUGUCCAGAAAAGUGUUUCCCAACCUUGUUCUUAGAGCAGAGGUCUCCAACCCUGCUCCUGGACAGAUUUCUGUUCCAACCCCAAUCAAACAUAGGCUUCCUGAAGCUAAUGAAGGUGUUUAGGUUUAUCUCAUAUUUACUGGUAGAUAUGUUUGAGCAAGAUUGGAACUGAAGUCUGCAGGACAGUAGCUCUCCAGAAGCCUGGUUGGAUAUUCCUUAAUGCUUUUCCACUGGGGCUGGAGCUGGAGCCGGUGCUUGACCAAGAGUGACACUCAUUCAGAACUGGCUCACCUUUCCACUGGCUGGGAGCAGAACCCCCCAUGUCACCAACAUAUGACUGAAAACCAUCAUUACCUCUGCAAGAGGAGAGCAUUGGUCUCUUCAAACAACCACUGCCGAGCUGACAUUUUUGAUUACUGUUGUUAAUGCAGUUAGUUUACCUGAACUAAUACGGCUUUUAUAAAUGGCGCCUUUCAAACUGCGGUCUGUAAACUGGCCCAGGAUUUGUUUGAGUGGAAAAGCUCAGUCUGGUUCCCAAUUGGGCUCCAUCUCUUGCAGCAGCCCUGGUGGAAAAGUGGUACCAGUCCUAGGAGGCACCCCAACAAUACACGUUUAGGAUGUCUCCCUUAUCUAACCCAUCGAUUUCAGGUCUUGGAGUCUCUGUUAAUGAGCUGAUGAGUUUAUUCAGGUGUGUUUGAUUAGGAAGAAUUGUAAACUUUUUUGUUUUGGUCUCUACAGAUCCUUCUAGUGGAAGAUGAUGCGACCAUAAGGAAGAUUGCUGCAGCUGCUGAUUGGCUCUUACAGUGUCUUUCUCAAGUAGGAGCUGCAGCAGACAUAUCAUCCUUAUUGAAAGCAU